UACGUAGGGUCCAAGCGUUAUCCGGAAUCACUGGGCGUAAAGCGUGCGUAGGCGGGUGUUUAAGUGCAAUGCGAAAUCCUGUGGCUCAACCAUAUGGACUGUAUUGCAUACUGGAUACCUGGAGGAAUGCAGAGGCAAGUGGAAUUACUGGUGUAGCAGUGAAAUGCGUAGAGAUCAGUAGGAACACCAAUGGCGAAGGCAGCUUGCUGGGCAUUUUCUGACGCUAAGGCACUGAAAGCGUGGGGAGCGAACAGGAUUAGAU
rnacentral:rRNA from 1 species